rnacentral:rRNA from 1 species
GUAGGUGGCAAGCGUUGUCCGGAAUUAUUGGGCGUAAAGCGCGCGCAGGCGGUUCUUUAAGCCUGAUGUGAAAGCCCACGGCUCAACCGUGGAGGGUCAUUGGAAACUGGAGAACUUGAGUACAGAAGAGGAAAGCGGAAUUCCACGUGUAGCGGUGAAAUGCGUAGAGAUGUGGAGGAACACCAGUGGCGAAGGCGGCUUUCUGGUCUGUAACUGACGCUGAGGCGCGAAAGCGUGGGGAGCAAACAGGAUUAGAUACCCUGGUAGUCCACGCCGUAAACGAUGAGUGCUAAGUGUUAGGGGGGUUUCCGCCCCCCUUAGUGCUGCAGCUAACGCAUUAAGCACUCCGCCUGGGAGUACGGCCGCAAGGCUG